UUAGGAAUUUUGCGCAAUGGGCGAAAGCCUGACGCAGCAACGCCGCGUGAGUGAUGAAGGCCUUCGGGUUGUAAAGCUCUUUUAGUUGGGAAAAACACAAUGAUGGUACCAACAGAAACAGCACCGGCUAACUCUGUGCCAGCAGCCGCGGUAAUACAGAGGGUGCAAGCGUUAUUCGGAAUUAUUGGGCAUAAAGCGCAUGUAGGUGGUUUGAUAAGUCUGAUGUGAAAUCCCCGGACUCAAUUCGGGAAGUGCAUUGGAUACUGUCAGGCUAGAGUAUGGGAGAGGUGAGCGGAAUUCCAGGUGUAGAGGUGAAAUUCGUAGAUAUCUGGAGGAACAACAGAGGCGAAGGCGGCUCACUGGACCAUUACUGACACUGAGAUGCGAAAGCGUGGGGAGCAAACAGGAUUAGAUACCCGUGUAGUCCCUGAGCGGGCUGGCAAGGCGCAU
rnacentral:rRNA from 1 species